rnacentral:pre_miRNA from 1 species
CCUAAGUUUCAUUUAUGAGUUUCUAUGUCUAACAUUUGAUCACGGUCUCAUUUAGUUUUUUUUAUGAAUAGUAUUUGUGUUGUUUUUAAUGAUAAAACAUGAAUAGUAAUUAAUGAAUAGUAAUUAAUGCAUGACUUUUCAAAAAAAAUUUCAUAAAACUUUCAAAUAAAACGAACGGUCAAACGUUAGACGCAGAAACCUACGAAUGAACUUAAU